rnacentral:rRNA from 1 species
UACAGAGGGUGCGAGCGUUAAUCGGAAUUACUGGGCGUAAAGCGUGCGUAGACGGUAGCGUAAGUCAGUUGUGAAAUCCCCGGGCUCAACCCGGGAACUGCUUCUGAUACUGGCGGACUUGAGGCCAGUAGGGGUCACUAGAACUGACGGUGGAGCGGUGAAAUGCGUAGAUAUCGUCAGGAAUGCCGGUGGUGAAGACGGGUGACUGGGCUGGUUCUGACACUGAGGCACGAAAGCGUGGGGAGCGAACGGG